AAAGAACGAAUUAUGGAAAACGACUGCAGAUUUACUGAACUCAUGACAAUCAGAAGCCAGGCAUUUGCACAGAGUCAAGACUGAUUGGGAAGAUACGCAUUCCAAGAAAUUACCUUAAGAUUUGUUUCACCAUUAAAGCGACAUUCCCAGCUGUGCUCCAAUCAACUGGAUAAAAGCAGAGAACCCAUCAGAAGUUGUUCCUGGUUGACUAUCACCUUUCAAAAGAAAUGUGCUUUCCUAAGGACAUUUUGAGGAAAUGCUUGAGCAAUCACAAAGAUGCCACUCCUACUACGUGAAGCUUCAGGGACAUGAGCAAAAGACAUACGCCUGUAGCAACCUUCCCUGGGUGGAUGGACAAAGUCCUGGGCCCCAGAGACACCAUCCCUGACCAACACUGAGGAAAGUGCUGGGCCUUUAUGGGUGUGUCA